AUUUUCUCUUUCUUUGCCUGGGAGGUGAGGUGCAGAUUACUUCAGUUUCCUCUUCUGAGAAGUGGGGUAAGAGUUCUCACUUACCCCACUUCCUGCGAGCACUGCAGGAAAGAGGAGGGUUCCUCUUUCCUGGUGGGAAACGCCACAGUCCUGAGACCAGCUGCCCUUCAUCCAAGUACCCUCCAUUGGCCCCAGGAAAAGGGUGGAUGACACCCAGUCCUAGGCCUCUGGGACUGCAGAGACAUUGGGAUUAGAGUCCCACACUACAAACAACUGGAUGUGCCCUUGGAAACCUUCCAGUCCAACUUCUUUAGUUUGGAAAUGAAGCAGCUGAGGCCAGGUAUGAUAGAACUGAGGCUCUACAUCGUUAAGGAACUUGCUCAGGGUCACAGAGCUGGGAGUAGUGAAGCCAGGAUUCAAAUACAGUUUUCUGACUGCAAAGUCUGUCCUCUGAACCACUAAGGCACAACAAAGCAACCUCAAACCCAGGAGCCUGGCUUCGGGAAGCAUCAGGACUAACUACAUUUUUGGAGUCAAUAGAUGCAAACAACUGAUUUGGUCCUCAUAGCAACCACUGCAGGAAACACUCUACCCUACACUGAGCUGUGACCACAUGUGGGUCCAUUUUCUUCACCGUGGAAUCCUAAGCCUAAGGAAUCACUUCAGGACCAGAAUCGUAAAAUGGGAAUGUGGAAUUCUGCUGUAUUGGAACAUGAUGCAUUCCAGAGAAUGGUUUGUGGGCUGACAGCUCAUAUAUUUGAGCCCCAGGAAGCUCGGAGUCACUUCUGGGGUCCCAUUCCAGCAGCUGUGCAGGACUUCAGGGUAAGUGUUUUGAGAUGGACCCCCAUCCACCUCGUUUCAUCUUAUUUUUCUGUCAUCCUCAAUCCGACAGAGAAGUUAAAACAACAGACUUGCAAUCACUCUGACCUUCUGCUUUGCUACUCACCAACUGUAUGGCCUUGGCAAGAUACUUCACCUCUUUUAGCCUAUUUCCUUAUCAAAUAUCUAUCUCAUGGGAUUUUUCUGUGGAUUAAUAAAGUAAUAAAAAACAAUUAGCCCAGGACAUGGCCUACAGCAGAGCAGUCCCAACUCAGGAAUAAAUAAUGUAGUAUAAUAAUUGAAACGUUGUUUUUUAAAUCUCCAUCAGCCACCUCAAAUCCUCUUCUGGAAUGACACAGAGGUUAAAAAAAAAACAAAAACAAAUAUAAAAAUAAAACUCUUAGGUAGCCCAGGCUUUCCCAUGCACUUGUGUUGUACAUUCUUUUUCUGUUAGACAAACACAGAGGAAACCAAAGUGUAAUCAGAAGGGUGCUUGGUAGAAAGGACUUUGGACAAGGUGAGUUCCUCUCUGGGGAUUGCCAAGGCUGAAGAGGACUGCCUCUUCCAAGGUCAUGUCAUCCCCAGGGGCAGCCUGCACCCGUCCAAAAGGGCCAUCCCAGCUCCAGAGCUCUCCCUGCGGAUCGGCUGAGGCCUUCAUCGCAGCUGCAUCUCGGGCCAGCCUCCCCCAAUCCUGCCUCCCACCACCCUCCACAGACAUCAGUCCUGAAGUCAUCUUUAAUAAACUUCCUGUGUGCAACACUCCCUGUCCUCUGUUUCCCAGACAGCCGACCUUCGGUGUUUGUAAGGUUUGCUUAUUAAAUGGCCCCAUCUCUGAUAGAUUUUGUCAGUGUUUGUCUCCAGAGCGGGUUAUACCUUCUGGUUCCCUUGACAGGAUAGUCUCCCCAGGGGCAUGUCUACACCUGGUAUUUGUAGGAACUGAUCAAAGUUGGAGACAGGGAGAAAACAGAGAAAUCCUAAUGUUUCCUGCACAUUAUAGU